rnacentral:rRNA from 1 species
GGGGGGGGGGGGGGGGGGGGGGGGGGGGGGGGGGGGGGGCGGGGGGGGGGGGGGGGGGGGGUGGUACGGGGGGGGGGUGGCGGGCGGGGGGGGGGGGCAGGGGAAUCUGCUGGGUGGGGGGGGGUGACGGGGGGAACCUUACGCUAAUACCGCAGACGACCUACGGGUGAAAGCAGGGGGGCUUCGGACCUUGGGCGGUUGAAUGAGCCGAGGUCGGAUUAGGUAGUUGGCGGGGGAAAGGCCCGCCAAGGCGCCGAUCCGUAGCUGGUCUGAGAGGAUGGUCAGCCACACUGGAACUGAGACACGGUCCAGACUCCUACGGGAGGCAGCAGUGGGGAAUAUUGGACAAUGGGCGCAAGCCUGAUCCAGCCAUACCGCGUGGGUGAAGAAGGCCUUCGGGUUGUAAAGCCCUUUUGUUGGGAAAGAAAAGCAGCAGGUUAAUACCCCGCUGUUCUGACGGUACCCAAAGAAUAAGCACCGGCUAACUUCGUG